rnacentral:rRNA from 1 species
UAGGGAAUCUUCCGCAAUGGACGCAAGUCUGACGGAGCAACGCCGCGUGAGUGAAGAAGGAUUUCGGUUCGUAAAACUCUGUUGUUAGAGAAGAGCAGCGCAUAGAGUAACUGUUAUGCGUGUGACGGUAUCUAACCAGAAAGCCACGGCUAACUACGUGCCAGCAGCCGCGGUAAUACGUAGGUGGCAAGCGUUGUCCGGAUUUAUUGGGCGUAAAGCGAGCGCAGGCGGUCAAUUAAGUCUGAUGUGAAAGCCCCCGGCUCAACCGGGGAGGGUCAUUGGAAACUGGUUGACUUGAGUGCAGAAGAGGAGAGUGGAAUUCCAUGUGUAGCGGUGAAAUGCGUAGAUAUAUGGAGGAACACCAGUGGCGAAGGCGACUCUCUGGUCUGUAACUGACGCUGAGGCUCGAAAGCGUGGGUAGCAAACAGG